UACGUAGGUGGCAAGCGUUGUCCGGAUUUACUGGGCGUAAAGGGCGUGCAGGCGGUCUGUUAAGUCUAGGGUGAAAGCUCCCGGCUCAACUGGGAGAGGUCCUUGGAUACUGGCGGACUUGAGGGAGGCAGAGGAAAGUGGAAUUCCCGGUGUAGUGGUGAUAUGCGUAGAUAUCGGGGAGGAACACCAGUGGCGAAGGCGACUUCCUGGCCUGUUCUUGACGCUGAGGCGCGAAAGCGUGGGGGAGCAAACAGG
rnacentral:rRNA from 1 species